rnacentral:rRNA from 1 species
AUGAACGCUAGCGGCAGGCUUAAUACAUGCAAGUUGAGGGGCAGCAUGAUAUACGCGAGUAUAUUGAUGGCGACCGGCGGACGGGUGAGUAAUAGGAGGUUAGACCUACCUCAUACAGGGGGAUAGCAUAGAGAAAUCUGUGGUAAUACCCCAUGAGGUUAUAUGAAUAGAGGCAUAUAAUCAAAGCAUAAGCGAUUAUGCGGUAUGAGAGGGGCCUACUGACCAUUAGCUAGUUGGUGAGGUAAGGGCUCACCAAGGCGAAGAUGGUUAGGGGUUUUGAGAGAGAGACCCCCCACAUUGGAACUGAGAUACGGUCCAAACUCCUACGGGAGGCAGCAGUGAGGAAUAUUGGUCAAUGGACAGAAGUCUGAACCAGCCAAGUCGCGUGAAGGAAGAAGGUCUUACGGAUUGUAAACUUCUUUAGCAGGGGAAUAAAAGACGAUACGAGUUAUCGUGUUGAAAGUACUUUGCGAAAAAGGAUCGGCUAACUCCGUG